GAUGAACGCUGGCGGCGUGCCUAAUACAUGCAAGUCGAGCGAACGGACGAGAAGCUUGCUUCUCUCAUGUUAGCGGCGGACGGGUGAGUAACACGUGUAUAACCUACCUAUAAGACUGGGAUAACUUCGGGAAACCGGAGCUAAUACCGGAUAAUAUUUUGAACCGCAUGGUUCAAAAGUGAAAGACGGUCUUGCGGUCACUUAUAGAUGGAUCCGGGCUGCAUUGGGUAGUUGGUAAGGUAACGGCCUACCAAGGCAACGAUGCGUAGCCGACCUGAGAGGGUGAUCGGCGACACUGGAGCGGAGACGCGGUCCAUGCUCCUACGGGAGGCAGCAGAAGCGAAUCGGCCGCAAUAGGCGGAAGCCUGACGGAGCAGCGCGACGUGAGUGAUGGCAGUCUUCGGAUCGUGAUACUCUGUUUUGGGGGAAGAACAUAUGUGUAAGGAACUGAGCACAGCGUGACGGUACCUGAUCAGGAAGCAACGGCUAACUACGUG
rnacentral:rRNA from 1 species